GGCGACAUAGCUCAGUUGGGAGAGCGCACGACUGAAGUUCUUACGAGCCUCCAUCGUGCGGUCCCUGGUUCGAUCCCGGGUGGCGCCA
rfam:Cryptococcus depauperatus CBS 7841 supercont1.9, whole genome shotgun sequence.